ensembl:ncRNA F40F11.6 ncRNA
AUACACACACCGUUUUGUAUUGCAAUAGGCGAAGACGCAAAUUGAUUUUAAAGCAAGUGUGUGUAUGUGUAUACGCAACUAGACACAG